rnacentral:misc_RNA from 1 species
UGAAAUUAGUUUUCUUCAAAAUCAGCAAGAUUAAUCAAUGAUUGUAACUGGUUAAAGAACACCAUGCAACAAAGUAUUAAUAAGUGAGCUAUCAUAGAAUUGUCAUCUACAACUAGCUAACAAGUCCUCAACCUCAACAUCUUGGCAUAAUGACAGAUGUACUUAUCAGUACUCCUUGUAGUCAAUUUAUUUCUGGCUUAAUUCUUGAUUUGAGGAUGCAACAGAGCCCAAUAUAAUUUCUGAAUGGGCUACUAUGUAACUAGGUAUGCCAAUUUUUUGGAAGAGAUAAACAAUUCUAUUACAGUGAGAAGGGAAUAUAUGAAACCUCAAUCUGCAAGUCAGUCACUUGGCAAUUUGUUUCUAAGAUUGGUCAACCAAAGUUAAAACAGAUCAAUAAAGCUUAUAGCAAGGGCCACUCAACAUAAUCUUUAUCAAUUUUGCAUUAAAUUCCAAGCACAUCAAAUGCCUUUAGAAGAUUCAAACAUCUUGGUCUACAAAGGUAAAGCCUAAUCUAAUAUCUAAAAACCUCACCCAAUAGAGAAGUGCGGCUUCAACAUCGAGUAGCUAUUAGGCAAUAAUAAGAAAAAGCAUAUUUAAUAUUAUAAUUGACACACUCAAAUCUAUAGCUAUUAGCUACUUUCAAAAGUAAAUUUCUUAACUAAAUUGCAAGAAUAAAAGUAAGCACCUGAAGUUAAAGGUUUCAAAAAUUAGAGAAUAUGAACUAAUCCUAAAAUAGUGAUGCUGUGAAAACAAACUUAUUGUUACCAUGGAGACAUGCAAUGGGAACAACUCACGGUCAACCACUUCCCAUAAAGAAAAACACUCGAGUUUUUAAUGGUUCAGCCAAGAAGGCUUACAUCCAUGGCUAUAUCUAUACGGCUUUUAUUGAUUGACAAUAAAUAUAUAAAAGAACAAAACUCUAAGAGACAACUCUCAUACACACAUCAAGUAGAAUACACAUUCAAUGGUCUACAAUCAUAACAUUCUAAACAGAAAUUAAAAUUAAAAAUUACCUGAAUAAAUUAAUGCAAUUUGUUGAUUUCCUCACCAAAAGCUUUAGAAUAUGCUGUGAAACAACUUCAAGAUUAGGGGUUUUGGGAGAGAGGGAUAAGAGAAAUUUUUUUAGGUCACAGUUACCUACCCACUAAAAACACUGCAAGAUAUUAAGAUUUCCUGGUUAAUUUUAAUUAGGUGUUUUUAUUUUAGGAAAUUCUAGGAUAAUAUUUGUAAUAUUUGUCUUAUUAAUCAGACUAUAUAUUUUUUCCCCUUUUUCAUAAUAAUAAACAUAUCUUAAUUAGUGGCAAUUUUUUCCCUAAAAAUUACUAUAAUCUACCAAAAAAAUUCUAUUACUACCCAUAGAGAACAUUAUCCUUAAAUUAAAUUGCUUCAUUUUGGCCUUAGAAUUUAUAAAAAUAAAUAACAAAAAUUGCUAGAAUUUAUAAAAAUUAAUAACAAAAAUUGCCUUUAUGAGCUCAAAUUAAACAUAAAAUCAAUUAAAAAAAUAAAAUCAAUUUGUACCUUGGGGGCAGAAAUUCGAUUGUUUGAAGGUAACAAUCAACUUCUCAGCAACAAAUUCAACAAGUUGAAGAUUCUAUUGGUUGAAGAUUCAGUUGUUUGACCCUGGAUGGAUAAUAGGCAUUGCUGGAUCAAGGAAGAAAGGAAUAUGGGCUUUCAUGCUUGACAGCGUGUGGUGAAGCAAGUGAGAGAAGAAAUCGGAGCAAACAGGAAGAUGAUGUUGUAGUCGAGACUGUUGAGAGGGGUUUGUCCAUUUGUAGUUGACACUGAUGAAGAAGAAGAUGUCUAACCAUGGGUAAUUUGUGGGAUGCAAUGGCAUAGAGUUUCAUAUAGAAAGGGAUGAAUGGAUAGGGUAGAAGGUGAGGGAAG